rnacentral:rRNA from 1 species
GAUGAACGCUAGCGGCAGGCCUAACACAUGCAAGUCGAGGGGUAGCAGGAUUAAGCUUGCUUAAUUGCUGACGACCGGCGCACGGGUGCGUAACGCGUAUGCAACCUACCUUAUACUGGGGUAUAGCCCGGAGAAAUUCGGAUUAAUCCCCCAUAGUACUAAUGAAUCGCAUGGUUUAUUAGUUAAAGCAUUGCGGUAUAAGAUGGGCAUGCGUCCUAUUAGCUAGAUGGUGAGGUAACGGCUAACCAUGGCUACGAUAGGUAGGGGGACUGAGAGGUUCGUACCCCACACGGGGACGGAAGCACGGACCAGACUCCUACGGGAGGCAGCAGUGAGGAAUAUUGGUCAAUGUGCGCAAGCCUGAACCAGCCAUGCCGCGUGCAGGAAGAAUGCCCUAUGGGUUGUAAACUGCUUUUAUUUGGGAAUAAACCUCUUUACGUGUAGAGAGCUGAAGGUACCAAAUGAAUAAGCACCGGCUAACUCCGUGCCAGCCGCCGCAGUAA